UUUGACAUCAGUGGUAAAUCUGGAUGACUAAUGAAAUCCAUGUAAUAUUUUUUUGAAGUACAUCCCUUGAUGAUGGUAGGAAUUGUGAUUCUGAUGUUACAAUGUGUUCGUUUGUUUUUCAUGUUGGGGUGGGAGUGAGAUUACAGAAACUUAGCAAUCAAUAAAAAUCAUUCCAUGGUAAGUUAUUGGGCGGUGUGAAUGUUAGGUUUUACACCGAUGUAAAUCGAUCAUUUCCCUAUUUAUAGAAUGAAAAGUAAUGUUUUGUUUUAUAAUAUGUUAUGUGUUGUCUUAACCAAAUUUGCAUUUUUAACUAGUUCAUCAUUUCUGUAUUUCUUUUCUAAAAUGAUAAUCUUGAAUUUACUUGGCAGGAGAAACGUUUAUGCUGUGAGCUAAGGUUGCCUCCAGCGGUAUAUUUGAAGAUGCAAGAGCGACUGUCUGUAGAAAUACUUAGCGGCACUGUCUCUACAAAAUCGGAUGCUCAUCGAUUAUUCAAGAUGGAUACCAUCAAAAUCGAUAGGGUCUAUGAUAUGCUCAUAAAAAAGGGAAUUGGUUCCCCUUGAGAUAUGUAUGGUGCGUCUUCUGGUUUGAUAUUUAAGAAUGUAGUCUCCCAUGAUAGAGAAAUAAAUAGAUGUUGUAUGAUUUUAUUCUGUAGGCUACAUUUCUAGAAAUUUUGAAGCACUGUAUAAGCUUUAGUAAUGAGUAGAGUUAGAUAAUCAGUAUUACAGAUUAUAGAACAUUCGCCAUGCCCUUCCCCUCACCAAGCUCCGCGAAUCAGGUUGCAUAUUGUUGUCCUGGAAGGAGAAAUAUGGUCUGUUGUGUACUAGGAUUUCAUAGGGAAAUUGAAGACUCGUAGCAGGCUUUUGCUAUCAGAUGUUAUAGAAAUUUUUAAAAAUUUAGGUUAUUUACUGUGCAAACUGUGAAAAUUUGUUCAAACUUUUCCAUUUAGAGUUGCUACUGUACCCAAGUUGUUUUCUUUUAGGUAGCAGUAUUCUUGAUAUUUAUUGGUUGCACUUUCCUACAAUAAAUAUGAAGUAUAAAAAGUAUACUACUCAAAUCAUCUUUCAUGGAAAUAGUCCUUUAUUUAUGAGUCUCAUAUUAAGUGAAUAAAGGCUCAAUUUAGUACAUAAGCUACUAUCAAAUAGACCUGUCUUUUGGAUUGAAUUUUUUUCAUGUACUUGAGUCAUGACAGAUGAUGCAUUCAUUUAUACUUGGCCAUAGAAUGGGUGAAACCUUGAAAUGGACUACUGAAUCACACUUUCAUGAGCUUAUCCCCCAGUGUCAGUAAUCACCACUACAUAUGUGAUUAACUAAUCAUCAAGAAAAUCCAUUUCAUAGGGGCUCAACUUCUCUUCAAUCCAUCUCCCAAUAAAAGUUAUGCCACUUUUUAUUGCCAAAUAACUCUGCUGCUAGCAUGAUAUCCUUCCCUUGGGGGCAAGCAUACAUAACUAACCACUAAGAGUAUCUAAACAAUGCUUCAGUAAUUUCUACACAACUUAGAAAAGGCCAAAUGAAAAACUCUAAGGUAGAAUACAACAAAGCAAGAAAAAUUGAUGCCAAGGAUUUGGAAGGGUACAAACUAUAGAAGGCACUUUAGUUGGUAAUCUUAUGCACCUUUCAGGAAACAAUUUAUGAAGACCACUAGAAUUUUUACCUGCUAACAAAAAAAGACUGCUAUCUGGUUGAAGAGUUCCUACUAUAAACACUUCAUCACUAUUAAACAUGUCCAAAGUUGUGGAAUCAUGUCAAGAAAGCACCAGUCAGCAGUGGAUUUAAGCUGUCAGUAAUUAAAUAGGUGUGCCCAAAAAAUGAUAUGGUACGAAAUGCCUAUCCAAUAAUGUCUCGUAGAAAGAUGUACAUAAUCAUUUAAAUUAAAAGGAAUGUCCAAUGCACGAGGCUCUCAUCUAGUAGAGCCUGUGGAUGUUACAUAAUCAUUUAAAUUCCGCUAGUAAUUUGAAAUAGACGAAUCUCAAGACUCAGUUACAAUCAUAAGAUGCGAACAAGAUAUCGUAAAAUUUCCUAGAUGAAACCUUGAAAGAUUCAUGGUUAAAAGAACAUAAAAUCUACAACUACAAACUUUGCUGCUCAAGGCUAAAUAUGUGGUAUGCAGUUGCAAUUGAUAUGUGCAUCUUAACAACCACAUGCCUUAAACAUGUGGCUAAAAUAUAUAAUAAUCGUCUAUGAUGUUUGAUCUAAUGAACGACUCUACCUAAAAGCAUAGGCUAUACACCACCAUUAUCCUUAAAUCAGAAACUUCAGUACCUGACAAUCAUUAUCCUCUGCAUAUACUAUUACUCCCCGGCUUCAUUUCGUUUUAUAUACAAGGUGAAUCCACCUUCAGGUAAUAUCAGUUGGAGACCAAAAAAUUCUUCAUUUAGCUCUACCAUAUAAUCAUGCAACCUGUAUUGCUUCUGCUGCAUCAAGUUUUGGUUCAGCAGAAUCAAAAUUUUCCUCCUUCAAAAUUCCCUCACUUGUCUCUUGAGCGUCAUCACCACCACGACCAUCAUCAAUGCCAGUGUCACUUGCACUGCCACCACCAGAGUUAUUAUCCUUGUCUACAUCAAUGGCACAGAGUAGCUUCAUAUCAGCAUCAACAAUGUCGUCGUCACCAUCACAGCCACCAUCACAGUUAUAAUCUAUGCCUUCAUGAAUGGCAUGGAGUGGCUUCCUCAAGGUCAUUCCCUUCAUAGUUUCUACCGGGUCAUCAGGUGCUUCCGAAACAGACAAUUCAGGCUCAAUCUUUUGAGCAACUUCAACUUUGGGAACUGAUGAUGGUUUACUUUCUAAAUCAGAUAUGGAUCCAUCUACCACUGCAGAAUCAGCUGUCAGUCUGAUGCUGGAACUGACAUUUAGAGAUAUAUAGCUGCAAAUGUUAGGCUUUCCCGGUAUGUCAACCCACUUCUUACCAACCCAAUCUCGCGAAAUCCGAACGUUCCUCUUCUCAACUGUUAGGAACUUGUCUUCACCUAGAGAAAAAUAAUAUUACCAUAUAACAACCAUCAGAUGCCUAACGCAAACAAAACAUAAUUCGUAAACUCAUGGACUGUUUAUCCAUGAACAGUGAACUAUGCACAAAAUAGUUUUGAAAAAAUUACAUGAAUAUUAUAUCCUACCAGGAGAAUAAACCUGCAGGAUUCCAACUCCACAAAAAUUGACAGCAGUUACAACACCUUCCCACCAUCCAUCACUCCACCAGGCAUCCACUGCUGCUCCAAUCUCAAAAGUAUCAUCUGUAGUAUUUUCAGGAGGGCAUGGUCGUACUGCUAAUCGGCCUGAACAUCGCAUACCCAGUUUGUCAGGAGCUGCCACUUUAGAUGCAGGGAUCCAUUCCUACACAUGUUAACAGUUGUGCUAAAAAUUGUACACUUUUCCGAUCUCCACAUAAAUUCAUGAAAUUAAUGAGCUCAGCCAGUGAGAUGCUCAGACUUCUAAGCCCAAAAAUCACCAGGAUCAGUAAUUCAUUAUUUCUACCAGAUUAGAAAAUUAACCAGCCAAGAGGAGUGUGAAUGUGUGUGACUGUGUCUCUGGAGUCGGGGAAAAGAAAUAAAGCCAUUGCAUACCUCUAGCUUCUCGGGUCCAUCUACAUCCAGCACGUCAUCAUAUUGGACCUUCAGUCGCUUCUGAGUUGCAGUCAAGAUUUUACACCGAAACCAGCAUCCUCUAAUGCUACUAUCUUGACAGAGAACCUCUACUUUUUCAUCUACCAUAAAAGACAGUUCACACUGAGGCUUGGGUCCAAUAACCUUAAUACCCAUUGUUGUUUUUGAUAGUUUCAAUUUCAAACUUGGGUAUUUCGGUUCACAUUUUGUCAUCUCAUUCAAAGGAGCAGAGUUUUUCAGAUCAUAAGAACCAUUUUCAAGCACUUGAUUCCCCUUAGAACUCCUCUUCCUCUUACUGCUGGACAUUAAAGGAUCAUCUUGAGUGAAGUCCUCAUCAUCUUCCAUGUUUGAUUUAAGACAAUUGGUCUUUCUCUUGGACAAAAUAGGACUAUACAAACAAGAAGGCACAGGUUGGUUACUAUAUCCACGCAACUUAGUAAGUGAGAAGGGUUUAAGCUUGUUGUUUUUGAACUGCCUAGAGCAUACAUGGACCUCAGAUAAAGAGAUGUGUGGCACAUCAGCCAGGUAUUUCUCAUAAUGCUUGGGAUUCAAAACUGUUGCAGGACCGCUGACACACUCUGCACUGAUCACCUGAACAUGAGGCGUGAUGAAAACUUCUCCCUCUUGUGGAUUCAGCUCUGGAAUCACAUGCUUAACUUCCUGACCAUGGUGAAACCACCGUACCUUCACCUUUUUCUGGCUCUUCUUGUUUUCAUACAUAUCUUCCACAUAACCAAGAUAGUUUCUUUCUUCUUGAGCCAUGAUAUAUACAAACGAAUGAACCUAGAAAUCAGAAGAAAAUGCCUAUGAUAUCAAGAAUAUCGGAAAUAAUUUAUAUAUAAUGAAAAAUCAUAUAAUUCUCUUACAUUUAUGAUUGUCCUAUUUCUGCAAAACCCUGGGUAGUGCUUCAGCUGUUUAUGACAAAACCAAGCAAUGCCCAACCACUCAAUAUUUGACCUUUGAAGUUCCAAUUUCCUUGAAAUCUGCAGUUUAGAAAUGUAUGCAGGGGAACUAAUCAAAUAAAGAUAAAAUGGAGAAUAAAGAGACAUGAACUUAAUUAGUUGGCAUUCUUAUACCAAUUUAUCAGGCAAAAGCUUUUUCUUAGCAUGGAUUCCAGCUUUUAAUAGCUCGAGAGAUUCUGCAGCUUGUUCUGAAUCAUUCAGCUGAACACCUGUGACAGAAAUAUGGGGGUUGCUCAGAAUACUAUCCACAUCUAGAGGAAAAGAAACUGUGCAAAGAGGAUUGAUAGAUCAAGUCGUAGUAAAAUAUGGGGCAAGACAAACAAUAAAAAUAUCUAGAAGACCACAUGAUGAAAAAUGGAUUCAUCAAGAAAAAACCAGCAAAUCUUAAACAAAAGCACCAUGUUCAAUGGCAAGUUGUUAAACAAUUGGUGUAACAUGAUAGCACCAUGUUAAAGCUUAACAUUUAGUCUUAAACAAAAUAGAGUGGAAUGAAGAAUGACAGAUAUGAAUUCAGAACUUAUGAAUGUAAAAGAGAACAGAUCACGCAACCAAACGCAGAUGGAAACUAAUCAAACAGUACCCAUUUCUCUAUGGAGCACAAAUAUGACCAUAGGAUACCAAAUAAACAUCUUUAGCUCAGCGCUUGUCAUCCUUUAUCAAUGCACCAGCCACAUGCGAUUUCAAAGAAGCAAAGACAUAUAGCAUAAAAUGAAAACAAAAGCUUGUAAAAAGAACUUGCCAAACAAAUUAUUUUGUGACACUUCUAUGGUUUUGGGGGUAAAUGUAGGCAGGAAUACCCAGGUGAGGAAAGUAGAUAGGUGUCUAGUGGAGGAUCAAAAUUUUGACACAAUCAUAACACCUCAGUCAAAAUGUGAGGGUGUCGGAUGAGAACCACAAAACAUAUAAUUUAGUGAAAUUUAAUUUGCUUUCACAACCAUUUCAAAGUAACACACAUUUGGCUAACAAAAAAACACGCAAGUGAAAGAAUAGUGUUUUCCACACAGCAAAAUGUCUUGUAUUUUGUUUAGAAAGGGGUAGAAAGUAGCUUUAUACGUAACUAUAUCAAGUUGCAUAUUUUAGAUAGUAAUUCUUAUAUUGUAGUGCGGAAUUUUUAUGACACGAAAGCAACUCGCAACCGAAGUCGUGAAUGAAUCAUUUCCCCCCUUCAACAUGUAUUCCCAUUAAGUAUUCAUGUACAUGAAACAUGAACUAUAGUGAACAUUAUGCAAAAUUUAGGAAGGACUUGUAUUCUUUGGGAUGGACAUAGUAAUUAACUAAUAAGCCUAUCAUAAAUAGUCCUCGGGACUUGUAUUCAUUUAUCAUAUGAUAAACAUUGUAGACCUGGGUAGUUUCUUAACCCUAGAACCCUAAUCCUAUUAAUACUACCUCGAUAUGUAACCCUAUUUGCACUAGGCUUGUUAAUUUAUUAUGAAUCUCAUCCCAAAGAAUAUGGGUCCUAUCUAAACUCUCCCACUAGUCACUAUACUCUUGUGCCAAUUACAUAAAUACUUAAUAGGAAUUCACAUUAAAAUUGCCAUAGAAAGGAAAAAAGCAAUGAUCCAUUCAUCACUGUAGAUGCUUCUUCAUGCUGAGGUGCUUGCAUGACUAAAAAAGUUCCUCACCAUAAUAUCUGCCCAAAAUCUGCAAUUUCAUAUAUUUACUUGCAAAAGUUGACGAUAACUCGGUAUAACUUCCUACUCCCUUUCUGAACAAAAUAGAAGACUUUUGGCACAUGGAAACUACAAUUUUAACACUUGUACACUUUUUUGUUAGUCAAUGAUGUGUUACUUUGAAACAGUUCAGAAAACAAAUUAAAUCGCACCAAAUUACAUGUUAGUUGUUAAGUGGUUGCUCAACUAGCACCAGCCUCACUUUUAGAUUGAUGUGUUAUGACUGUGCCAAAAGUUUGAUCCUCCACUAGACACCUAUCUACCUUCCUCACCUAGGUCCUUCUACGUAUAUUUACCCCCAAAAGCCUAAACCAUAGAAGUGUCACUAGAUAAUUUUUUUUGUAUAAGCAAGGAUAUCCCUCACUCUAUGGGUAAGGAACUAAUUCCUUAUGGGGUACGUGGUUGCCCCUCCCAGGAAGUGUCACAAGAUAAUUUGUUUAACAAGUUCUUUUUACCGGCUUUUGUUUUCAAUUCAAGCUAGAUGCCUUUGCUUCUUUGAAAUUGUAUGUGGCUAGCGCACUAAUAAAGGAAAAGUAAUGAAUAAUUGAUUACUAAAAAAAAUGCAAGGUUUAAUAUAUUGCAUAUAAAAUGAAGUGCAAAAAUGGGAAUAACAAAACUAAUCAUGACCACUUUCACAUUUAUUCACUUCACACAAAUAAAAUUACCAAAGAACCAAUGCUAACAUGCAAAUUAUUAAUACGCAUAACUACAUUCUUAAAUUUAAGUAGAUAGCAUAUAAAUGCCAUACAGUUGCAGUUAAAAAUCAUAAAUAAAACAUUUGUGGUAGCUGCACCAAUUUGCUCUAUCCAAUCCAACCAUGACAAAGUUCUGAAUUUUUUAUCCCUCAUUGUGAGUGGUCAAUGUGAAAGUACAAAGAAAGCACCUCAAAAAUAAAAAAUACACAUGGCACAACUUUCAGGUACGCAGUCAAGAUUCAAGAAUCAUAGAAAAAAAUAGUUCUUAGACAAAAAUGACAAACUAUGUGAACUUAUACACUACAGACUUGACAAAAAUGCUUGAAUUUAACUCAUAGGAAGGCACUUAGAUGAUUAACCACAAUAAGUCACACUGCACUGACUCUGAUUUUGACAAUGCUUGGUGACCAACCAACAAUACCAACAAGCACAGCAACAACAACCAAUGCUAAUACCACUACAAUUAUUUUGAAUGAUACAAUUCGAGGAGCCAAAAACCGUGGAUCGUGUAAUCCGAUUCAGCAAAUGAAUCCAUAAUUAUUCAUAUUUCUAAAACACAAAGCAUUCCAAACUUGAAGCACAUCAAACUGCAAAAACUGAAACCAACUUACCCGCACGUUGUGAAUGAUUCUGCGAAAUCAAACAAGUGAGCCAGUUGACAACCUCCCUCCUCGCCCUCCAUUUAAAUGCAUUGAUAGACUCAUUGGAUCCAUAAACCUUCAUAAAAUUGUCAGGUACAAUAUACAUCAUGUGCCUCACACUUCUCUCAGUCCCAACAACAGCAAGCACCGAAUUCCCAAAUGCAUCUUUCAAGUAAAAAUGAGUUGCACGGUUCCCACGCUCAGGACAUAUCACUUGCUCUUCCCAGUCCACAAAAACAGGUGCAAUAUCCUCAGACAUUUUCACCAGCAGCAACAAUAGUAAAAAAAAAAUCCCCUUUUUACAACAUCAACAAAACAAAAUCAAUGAUGGGUUGUUCCUCAAACCCCAGAUUGGGAUAAGGGAAACCCUAAUACAAAAACACAGUUCCCAAACUUGAAUCAUUGAAAUAAAACCCCAAAAGUCCAAAACAUACCCAACACAUAGAACAACCCCAGAUAAGCGUAAUAAGGUAAAAUGGCGAAGAAUUGAAAGGAGAUAAAGUAUGUUCCAAAAGGCUAAAAGUGAAGUAAAAGAUUAACUAUGCCCUUAUGCCUCCACCUAAAAGUAUUAAAAAAACAGUUUUUGUGGGGUGAAACAGAACAAGUUGUUAGUAUGAAACAAAAACGAAGUUGUAGGAAGUGGGGGUUGAAUGGAAUGGGGUGGGAGAGAGAAAUAGAGGUUAAAAAAGAGAACUUUAUAAGGAGAGGGGAAAAGGGUAAUGAAGAGAGAGAGAGAAUAUAUGAGAAAGGGUUAGUGGUAUGAGGAGCUGCACAAGUGUUGAGUUCUCACAAGUUGCACUGCCAUGUGAAUAUGUGAUGAACGUGGAAAUUCAAGAGAAAAACAGAGAGAGAGAGAAGAGGGGCAUAGAGGGGGUUCCAAUGUUAUUGUGAGAGGAGAAUAUUCAUAUGGAACAAGCAUCAACUGUCCCAAAAAGUUCAUAUCUUCAUGUCUCAAACUUAAUCACAUUUCAAUAAAUAACAUGCAAAGUUAAUUUUAUAUUUUUAUAAUUAUUCUUUUUAAUUACAUGACAAUUUUUAACUGGAUUAGGAGAUGUGAUUUCCAUUAUAUUAAGGUGCUGUAUGUGUCAUUUCCUACUUAGCUCUAUUAUAACAUUCAUACCAUAUGUAUCCAUGUUUUCCUAUUCUGUCAUUCUCUUUGACCUCACUUAGUAUGAGCCAGGACCAAAUGCAAACAAAAUGUAAUUGUUUUUUUGCUUAAACAAUAAGUCACACUUCAUAUUUAUGUUCAUGAGAUAUGGGUAAACUAUGGAAAAACUAUGACUUUAUUAUGAUACCCUCAAAUUAUUAUUUUUAUAAUUAGCAAUUGUCUUAUUGUUAUCAUUAAGUUGGUCCCCGAAAUAUAUUAACCAUCCACUAAAUCCUUCAAGACAAAAUAGUCAUCCUAGAGUGAUUGUCAUAUAUAAUGUAGUUAGUAUGAAGGGUCAUGGCAUAGGUUUCAUCUCAACACUUAUACACGCAAAUGACAGCUCAGUCAUUUAUAUGAUAUAGUAUUGAAAAUGUGAAUAAAAACACUCCAAGGAACAAUCCAACCAACCACAUAUUAUAUAUACUAUAGGAUACCUUUCACCACAAGUAACACUCAUAUAUAAAAUAUACACAUAUUAAAUUCAUAUACAUAUCGUAGGGGAUUGUUAAUUUCCUUAAUUAAUGUAUGCAUUAUGCAAUUCCUUGUCUUUCACGGAUUUCUAAUUUGCUUAGUUAAUUUACUCAUAUAUAUAUAUAUAUAGUGGUUCUAUAUGUUAUGUAUUUGGUUCAAAUAUAAGUAAACUUUCCACCUUUAAUAUGGCUCCUAGAUUGGUUCUUAAUUCAGCAUGCCAUGUUUUGGGCCACACCAUAGACAAGGACAACAUAGAAAAACAGUGCAACCAGAUUGUUAGUGAUUCAAAUGGAGAAGUAGAAAAGGUUGAGUACCCUUCUUCAGGUUUUCAAAUGCCUCUUCACUAUCCACGUUACACCAAAGAUGACUAUGAGAGAAUGGAGGAUUGGAAGGUGGAGUUGCUUCUUCAGGAAUAUGGAUUAAGUUUCAAGGGUACCCUUGAUGAAAAGAGAGCUUUUGCAAUGGGAGCAUUCUUGUGGCCUGACCAAUAUUAAACGAGUUUUAACAAAUUAUAUGCCUAUAUGAUAUAUGCUAGUAAAUGUAUUUUAAGUUUUGUAUUUUAUGAUGGUUGUGUGUACGAGUCUCGGCGCAAGGAUAAGAUUGCUACCCUGUAACUUAAAGGUUAUCGAAUAAGUUAAUAUACAUUUAUCCUACCCAAAUCUCAUACAUGGGUUACCCUUAUCGUUGUGGUAUCAUAUAUGAGUGUGCUUGUACUUGUAAUUGUUCUUCUAUAUGUAUCAUAGAUAGUAAAGUUUCCAUAUAAAGCAGAGUUGCAUGACAUUGAUUAUUAUUGAUAGUUUGCCACUGAAAGCAAUGUUUAUGUGGCUAGCUUGUUCUUGUUGACGCAGGGUAUGCCCAGUCAUACAAAACUUCAUGGAAAUAAGUCAAUAAUAAAAAUGCUUAGGAUUUGUUCUGUGUUGAGUUUUGGAGUAAAAGAAAAGGAAGACUUCAAAGUUAUCUCGUGUAUUUGGUAGUUGUCAAGUUUUCCAUUUCUUUUCUUUCCAAAACUGAGCUCACAAAUAGACUCUUAAGGGUUAUUGGUUAUUAUGUCAAAAGUCAAAAUAAAUAGAAAAAGGAUUCACAUAGCUGUAUAUAGACUUUUCAUACAAGAAAGACAUUUUCCUUGGAUGCUUUCAUUGUGUUAAAUUUCUAAAGACAAGAAAGGUAGGUUAGCUAACCAAUCAUUGAGCAUGAAACAAGGACUUAAGGGUCAAAUGUUUGGUUUUAUGGUUGUGUUGCUUCUAAUGAGGGGAUGCAUUGACAACAUCCAUAAUUGAAGGACAAGUAGGACACGCAUUGCAAAACUCAGGAAGAAGCUUCUUUUAAUUUAUGCUAAAGUAGUAGUAAUAAAUAAACAAUGUCUACAUAGAAAAGUUUCUAUCUUUCUCUAUUAUACAAAUAUAUUCACUUAGUCAUAGAUCAUUGGAACAUUAUGUUCCCCUUUUCUGUCAUCUUCUACACUAGUGUGGCUAAGAAGGUAUUCAUUAGCAACCUUUUAUUUUCAAAUAUCUUGUGACCAAGUAUCAUGGACAAGGACUCUGUCUCUAGAUGGAGGAACAUUCAAAAGGCACUAUUUACUUUGUCAUUUCUUUCCAUUCUAUUAUCAUAUGAUGAGUUCAGUGGUUGCAAACUUGCAUUUCAUAACAUCUAUACAGCAGGACACUUCUUAUUAACUUGUCGGCGAACGAGUAAUGUUAAUGCAUACUCCAUCACUCUCAGGGAGAUUUCUAACCUCAUUAAGAAUCCUAUAAGUUCCUUUGUCAGUUCUCUACAAACAUAGUCAGAUCGCUCCUUUGUAAUUGAUGAUUCCGAAAACAAAGUUUCAGUCAUGGACUGAUAUUCUUGGAACAACUCCCUAGCAAUUCUUUGAUUAUUCUGGUCAGCAAUGAGUAAAGAGCAUUCCUGUCUCCAUCUACUUAAAUAGAACUUUUCAGGCAGAUGAAAGUAAUUCUUCGCUACAAAUACGCGAAGAGCGUGUCUGCAUAAUUUUCCUGAUGAUUCAAAUUCCUUGCACGAGCAGUGUAUCUGUUCCUCUUCAGCCGACCAUAUUACGAGCCGUUCUGCAUCCAUCCUUUUGAAGUGCUGCACAAUAUAUGAUCCAUUGGCCAUUUCAGUUAUAGCAUAUUGCGUUGUAAGCAAAAGUUCCUGCUGAAAAGCAUUAAAAGCGAACAGCGUGAGAGUGCUCCGUGCUUGAUCUUCAAUUGGCAUGCUCGUUUUCGGAUGUAUAUAUUGAGUUUCAUGACAUGCUUGAUGUUGAAAUUUUGUAGAAAUACCAACCUGCAUUAAUAUCCACAAGAGGGAAGAAAAUCAAUAUGUUUAUCUGAACUAAGUCCAAACACAGAAACCAUGUGGCUCCACCAAAUUUCAAAUGCCUCUGUAUUCUCAUAAGAGGACAUUUAUUAAGGUAUGAGUAAAAUCUUAUAUAGAGGAUGCUAGUAUUAAACCUGAAUAGCCCAUGAAAAGGAUUGAGGUGUUUCAUCCUGCAAUAAAAUGCAACCAAAAAAGUUGAUUCUACCAUAGCUAUCAAUGCCAAACCAUGCUUCAAAAAGCAAUCCAUAAGUGAUUGAUGUUAAGGUUCGAUGUGAGACUCACUUUCCAACAUGCCCCCUCCAUAUAAGUCUGUUGGACCAGACGAAGAGUUACCUUUGACCUAUAACUGAAGGGUCCAAAAAAGUUGGUUCUACCAUAGCUAUCAAUGUCAAACCAUGCUCCAAAAAGCAAUUCAUAAGUGAUUGAUGUUAAGGUUCGAUGCGAGACUCACUUUUCAAGAUGCACCCUCCAUAUAAGCUUGUUGGACCAGAUGAAGAGUUACCUUUGACCUAUAACUGAAGGGCAUAUUUUGGCUCAUGAAACCAAAAAAAAAAGUUGAACUCUGACUCUGAUACCAUGCUAAGGUUCCAUCUGAAAACCAAUUAGCAAUGAGAGGAGUAGCCCAACAAGUAUUUAAAUCAUUCCCAAGGUUAGCGAUGUAGACUUACUUUCCAACAAUUGAUUGAUAAGUAAUGUCAAAAUAAACUACAUCAGCAAACAUAGCAUUUGCAUUUAUGGAGUCACCAUAUGACCAAGCUACAUUUUCAACCUUAUCAUUCUCAUCCACACUAAAAUCAUAAACAAAGCCACCAUCUGCUUCUUUCAUGGCUUUGCAUGCCUCAAGAAGUUCCAAUACAUCAUUUUCUCUUUUCUCACUUAGCAAGGCCUCAUUCUCUUGAACAACCUUCUUAUGGUUUUGAACAAAGUUCCUCACAUCCCUUUCCAAGAAAGGCAGUUGCCCACAUUGAAUUGGUUCUCCCGUACUAAUUCGUGGCUCUUUCGCGAACUGGUACCCUUUAACACUCAAAAGCAAAAUUGCUAUAAUACUCAAAAGCAUCAUCAUCACUCUUAAACACCAUUCCAACAUAGGGGGUGAUCAAUGCUCCAGAUGAUGGUUUCUAUGUCUUCACCAACUCUGGUUCUGAUGAACCCUCUUCAGCAUCACCCUCAUAUGUGAUAUAACACUUCCAAUCUCCACAAGGGCAUUGUUCAACUUGAAAGGAGUCUUGAAAUCACUCAAAGUUUCGAACUUUAUGCGACCCAGAAGUAGGGGGUAGUAAAUAAACUAAGACUCAAGUCCAUAAAGUGUUCAAGGGGAAGUAAAAUUUUAAUAUAAUCAGGUUUUCUACCAGUCUUGAUAAGGUAAAUACUAUAAUAAUAAGAAGAAGAAAUGUACAAUCUAUGAAUUUUUUAUUAUAUCAUUCAUCAUUCAUGUUUAUUCAUCAUUGAUUCUUCAAAAAAGUAAUGACUCUGAAUUGAGUUGUGUGGCAACCUCAUACUAUAUAAGUUCAUGGUUUAUAUUAUCCAAAAACCAAAUAGAUCAAACUGCAGAAAGUUCUAAACUUUAUUAUUGAUUUUUGUAUAUAUUGCCGUGAAAUUUCUUAUACACAUUUGAUUGAUACAAAUCUCUUUUGAGCAUGAUUUUGAUCAUACAGAACAUGAUACCAUUGAUCAUAGUUUUGAUCUUCUUCUUCUUCUUCAGUAUUGUUCUGGCUUCCCUGCUACAUAAUCCAAGAGUCCUUCACCAACUUUUUCAUCAUGAACUUCUUCUGUUGAGAAUAUUGAAACACCUCCAAAGGCUAUAAUUGCAACCAAGAAAACAGUAGUGGAAGCAAACAAGGGCCAAAAAUAGGCCAGAAUGGUUAGAAUUCUAGGGGCUGCAUAUAACACCAAAGACAAUGUUAGUGAAACUGCUAUUGCUAUGAUGAUAUAGUAUCUAUAUUUUAGAAGCUUUUGUGAUACAUCCAUGGCCUCUUCAAUUAGUACUUUUACUCCAAAAGGGAAUGGAAAAAAGGAAGAUGGAAAGAAUAUGGUUAUUUCUUGUUCAAAGAGUUUAGUGUUAUAUAUGUGAGUUCAUAAAAAGUGUUGUAUAUAUGAAUAGAUUCUAUACUGGAAAGGAUGGUCUUAGAUGACUUUCAAAGUUUUCUUGGCCCACCUGCCACUUAUUUGAUAAAGAACAAGUCUCACAUCUUCAAAAAAAUUUUCUCUUCAUGUCUCAAGUCAAUUACAUCUCACCGAAUAAUAUAGCAUGUCUUUUUUUAAUUAUAUCACACUUUUUAAAAGACAUAUAUGUUCCUAAAGUGUACUCUUGUUAAUUGGGUAACUAAGUUUACUUACAAUAGAAAGUAUAUAAUUUUAAGAAAUUUAUAUAUUACCUGAUGAAUAUAUGACUUAUGUCUUUUAUUGGUAACAUGCUCUAAAGUCAUACAAAGUAUAGUACAAACCAUGUAUCAUGAAUUAUAAUUAGUAAACUACAUCAAAUUAUAUAUUGUUUUAUAUUCAAAACAAUUGAAUAAUCAAAAUCCAUAACCCAAGAUUGUGACAGAAUUUGUGAAAUUCACUUGAUACUUUAACUAAAAGAAAUGGGUAUGUUAAUUAUUUCACUGCUCAAUCUACUUAAAAAUCUAUAUACAACAAUAAUUGAUAAUCUAAGUAAAAGACCACCUUUCAAAUGAGAUAAGAAAGAAGAUUUAUAUAUUAACAUAAUUUCAUUUGCAUUAUAAUUAGUGACACUGAAGGUUCUUAUGGACGGCAAGGGAUAAGGCUUUCAAUAAUUGUUCUUUGGGCCAAUAUUAAAUGGCAUAUUAGUAAUUAAAACAAGUUGAUAUUAUGUCUUUGGCAUAGAUUCUUUGUCAAAUUCCUGAUUGGUCGGUUUGCGGUGUGUACUUUUUGGAAGUGGGUGCUUUUUAAUUGGAAAAUUGUAAUGAAGAUUUAGUCUCCACUAGAGGAAAGGCAUAACUUCUUAUUCUUCUUUAUGGUCAUGGGUAAAAAGAAGAUAUCAUAGAUUAUUCAAUGCACAAUUAAGAGUCAUUUAGAUAAGUUUUGUUCUUCCUUUAGAUUUAAGGUACCCCCACAUGAGUUUUAGGCCCUUAAAUCAUUAUUUAGAGAAGAAAAAUAAGGUUGAGUCAAUUUUGGUGGAAUAGUUAUAUUAAUUUAAUAUUUACUUGAAAACCUAACCUUAGAGGAGAGCACAUAUGUUGUUCUACAGUUUGUAUCACUCUAUGUACUAUGAGCUUAUGAUUGGUUAAAAAAAUACCCGGUAAUUAAAUUUUAAUUUAAAUAUUUUUUCUGACCAGCCAUAAGUCCAUGACACAUGGAGUGACACAAACUGUUGGAAAAUAUAUGUGUGCACGCAGUGCUACUUUUAUAACAAUUGCAUAGUUAGUAGAAUUUAUGGAAUAAAAUAAAGGGAAAUGCAAGCAUAGUUAAAAUCCAUUAAAUGAAGUUAAAAUUAGAAUGUCAUUUUUUUUAUAAGAAGGGUGAUAUUCAAAUUUAUAAGAGAUACAAUUAUUUGACAUGAGAUUUUUAAUUAAUGUUCUUCAACAAAAUAAAAACCAUGCUUGUGACUUUAGAUUGUAAAGGCAUUCAUGAUGUGUCUCUCACUUUGAGGUAAGGCUUAUCCUUCAAUCUCAUAGUGGAGAUGAAAAUUGUAACUCAUUUCGAGGUAAGAGGUAAUAUUCAAUCAAAUGAAAGAUAUAAAAGAGGAUAUAAAGUCAAUCAACAACUAAACAUAAGUCAAAGUUUUAAAUUCCUUGAUGGAGUUCUUUUUAGCUUUUCAUUCAACAAAAGCUCCCUUCUAAUUGCAACAAAAAAAUGAAAAAAAAUAACAUUUUUAUAUUACAUGUAAAAUGUGAUUAACUAAAUAUAUUAAUUAGUAUUGUAAAAAUUGGUUUGUACUGAUCAGUUCAAUUGAUAAACGGGUUCGAAUAUAGAUACGAUACAACAGUUGUACUAAUUAUACAAUUAUACUAGUCAAAUUCAAUUAAAACUGGUCAUAUUGACCGAUUCUCAUUAAACCGUACUGGUUGAACCGACUAAUUUUUAUUUAAAUUUAUUUUUUUAAUGAAAAUAAAAAUAAAUUAUUUUUUCAAGUUAACAUUAGUAUAAUAUAUAUAUACCACUAUAUAAUUUAAUUAAUAAAUUAUCAGUUGAAUUACUAUAAUAUCAUUUUAAUACAAAUAUUAAUAAGAAUGCAUUAAAUAGAAAGAUCUGUUCAUGUUAUACACUACUUCUUAUAAAAUAACUAGCCCUUAGAGCACGUGUGUUCCAUAAGCAACCGACCAAACACCACGUCACGCCACACGUGCGUCCCUCCAACGGCUAGUUUUUGGUUCUCUCUUUCUCCAUUAUUUAACCGCCAUUUCUUAGAAGAGAGAGAAAGUAAGACAAGAUAUUUUUUCUCCAAUUUUUCAGUACUUUCCUCAAACCGUUUUUUUUUUGUUACUGCUUAAUCUUCGUUCGGGUAACAAUUACUAAUUUCAAAUUAUAAACUUUUAUCUCACCUUCAUAUAUAAAGCACAUUAAAAUCUUAGAACCAAUUUGGAUUCUGUUACCAUUUUCAUUUUCUGGUUUUCUCUCUGCAACAAACAUACCCCAAAACAGAAAGUAUCGUAAAUAUAGGUUUGUUUUUCUGUCUCAAUUUCUAUUAUUUCAUGAUAUCCCCCUUCAAAGUUUCCUUUUUUAAAAAAUUGUUAAAAAUUUGAUUCAUUCUGUGGUUUUUGCAGAUUGAAGAAAAAAGUGUUGAAAGCUCUGAUUGUUUUUGAGUUUGCUGGUAUUUUGGGUUUAGCGAAGACAUGGCAUUAGGGUUUGAUAAUUGUUAUGCACGUGCAUUGGGAAGAAAAAGGGUUGUGGUUUCCAACAAUGUGGAAGCUUCAAAUCCAAUGAAUAGUUCAUUGAAGAGAGUGUGCAGUGGCACAUUCAGUUCCAUUUCUGAAAGGUCUUCCCUUGAAGCCCUUCCUUUUGAUAUACUGGUGAGUAUAACAAUUUCAACCUUAAUUUUUCACCAACAAUGGUUUUUAUUGUUUGUUUACUUAUUUAUUGUGUAAUGGGUAUUUUGAAGUUUCUGAAAUUUGUGCUAUUUAUUUUUGGUUUAAUUGCAGAUAAAGGUAUUGUGUGGUGUUGAGCAUGAAGAUUUGGAGCAGCUUUUUCAUGUCUCUAAGAUUAUUAAAGAAGCAGUGAGUAUUAGAGUAUUGUUGUUGUUUAUUGUGAUUUGUAUUUAUAUUUCAACCAGUGUUUCUAAUUUGGUAACUAUUGGUUUGUUUUGUUGUUGCAGGCUGAAAUUGCUAAAAGAUUGCAUUUUGAGUAUAGUACACCAAAGAAGAAAACUUUUGCUGCUUUUCAUAUUCCCAUUGAUGUAGAUUCCUCAAAUGAGUUUGAGGAAAUUAAAGCUCCAAAUGCACCAUUGAGGAAGUAUAGGUCAAGAUUGAAUGGUAGGAUUAUGAACAUGGAAUCAAUCUGUUCAAACUUGUUUCCUUCCAUGGAUGAAGAUCAGUAAGAUGGUAAGUGAAAAACUCAUUACAAGAUUAAAGUUUCUGUUGUUGUUUGUAUAUUGAAAUGGUGGGAUUAGAUUGUUCUAUUGAAGCCAAGGGUAUCUCACUGGUUGGCUGAUUUACACAUGUUACUUGCCAAUUUCUUCAAAUCCUUCAUUGAAGAAUGCUUUGGCUUGUUCUAAUCUUUCUUUAGACAAAUAGAAAGUAGGAGAGAUUGUGCUUUUGUGCAGACUUUAGAGUGGUCCUCCUUCUAGUGUCUCAUAGAUUUAGGUGUGAAACUAUAAGAUACUAUACAUUUCUUAACAUAGUGAUUUAAGAUUCCACUUGUAUAAUUCACUUCUUAAUUUAUGUCCAUGCUUAUUCAAAAACUCUAAUUUCCAACAUUAUAGUUCAUAAAAUUACACAGAUUUGUUAAGUAUGUAGAAAAUGAACAAAUCUGAUGUAGACUACUAAUGACAAUCAAAACAAAGGUUUAGGAUAAUAAUUAGAAGAAAAAAAGAUUUCUUGUUAUAGAUAUAAGCAACAUUAACUGCAUUUAUUAUGUGGGUGUUAUACCAAAAGAGAAAUUUCUAUUUAAUGUCUCUUAACUCAAGUUUUUAUGGUAAUAAUGCUCAGUGAAAGUUGAAGACAGUUUAUUUAUUAAUAGCAUCUUCUUAACCGAAGUUUCAAUUUAUUGAGUUUUUUAUUUUAGACGUUGAUAUUCUUUAUUUAGAGAGUUGAAGACAGUUUAUUUAUCAAUAGCAUCUUCUGACAUCUUGCAAAUGCAAAACAAAUUUAGUGAAGAAAGUUCCACUAAGGCAAGUUACUGAUUAUAAGCCAAGUCAGCCAAGUGCAUCAGCAGGGAAAUAAAAUGUUACAAAUACUUGGAAAAUAAUUGAAUUACAUGUCCAAAUUAUGUAUAUUAGCGAAGAUGGUCAUAGAAAAUACUACACUUGCUUAAGUUGUAUCAUUGAGUAUGAAGGAUAUCUACCAGUGUUGAUUAUAAUUUUUAAAGAAUACAUCUGAAAACAGUGAGCUCAAGCUGAUUCAACACUAAUUUAUAGCAAGGAUGAAUUUUUUUUACCAGAAAUAUAAUUUUUAGCAUUGAAAUUGACAAAUAUCAUAUUUUCAUUGGUUAGUCCAAGAAAUAUGAACAAUAAGCAUAUAUUAACUUGGUAAAUAUUUACAAUGAGAUGACAUUUUUAUCCUUAAAAACAAAAGUAAAACAAUAACUUCUCUCUCCAAUUCUGGAAAGGAUCUUUUCGCCUACGGUAUUGGCUAAGAAACUAAAAAAUCUGCAAAUUUGCAAUUGUGAGACCUUCUUUCAUCUUUUCUUCUUCUCCCUGCUGUCACAAAAUGAGCAGGUGAACAAUUCCUAGAGUCUUUCAGGAAAUUUCUCAAUAACUAUAUAAAAUUAGUUUCUCAACUGAUGUAUGACAGUAUGUAGAGCUUAAACUGAAACAACUCUACCAUUUAAUCAUUCUGCUCCUCAAGAAUAGUUGGUAAAGAAGGUAACCAUUUCCUUCUGAUAUGUGCAACUUUUGUCUUGAUAUGUAACUUGUUUGAUCCACUUAACAACAGUUUCAACUGUUCCAUAGUCAUCACAAUCUUCAAACUCCUUGUCUUCAGGUUUCUGUUGUCACUUGUUGCCUUUACAGAUUGCCUCAGCAAUGGUGGUUCAAGGUUGUAAACCUCCCCAUUAUGCAGCUUCCUACUUAUUACUAUGUAACUUCCAUCAACAUCCAUUUCUCUUUGAUCAAUCUCUAUUACUCUUCCAUCUAUAUUCUGUUGUGAGUGACAAAUGCAGUUUCCCAUUGUGGAUGAUGGAAUGAACAAAAACUCUCAAACCUCACCAUUAUAUAUAGAAGUUUUGGUAAAGUUUCAAGUUUGAGGAAAUUUGAACGUGCAAGCCAUCACAAACAUAUAGGCUUUGCAGGCUUGAACUCCAUCUCUUCUAAAAUAUUGUGCUUAAAAAAGUCAGAACCCCAUUUAGCCUUCAUUUUAUAUUCUUUUUGUCAAAAGCAUAUACUCAAAUUUAACCCUACAUAAUAAAAAAGUAACAGCAAAAAUGUCAACCAUUAUGUUGAUAAAAAGGUCAACCUCAGUGAUGUCUGCACUUGUUUCUUUUCAAUUUUAUUGUUUGCAAAAGAUAUUUGUAUACUCAUAUUCACAAUGGCACAUUUCUUUUACAUUAAAGUAAGACAUUUUUAUACUCACUUACACUACUUAUGGUGUUGAUAUAGUUUGUUUCCCACGCUCUAGACAAUUGAAGGCUGGAAUAAUUUAAGAGUAAUACUACACUUGGUUCAUAGCAUUGGACUUGGUCUUGUCAAUGUUCAUCACUUUUCUGUGCCUAAAUAUUUAUGUUGGGACUAAAAGUUAACUUUCAAUGAAAUACAUAUUUAAGGUUUAAGCCAUAUAAAAAUGAGAGUAUUGAUAUGGCUUGCACGUUCAAAUUUCCCUCAACUUAAAAUUGACCAAAGCUUUAUAUAAUAGUUGCAGUUGAGAGAAACUUUGCUCUAUUGGAUCAUCCAUAAUGGAGAACUGUAUGACUUGUCAAGAAGCAAACCAUAACUCCGUUAGUUGAAAACAUGAACCAUGCUUCAUGUACAAGUUACAUAGUGCUCACUUGGAAGGUACAGAAUGAGGAGGUUCACCACCUUGCACCAUUCCUGUGGCAAUCUGUUAAGCUAACAACUGACAACAAAAGGGUGAGGACAAAGAAUGUGAAGUGUGUGGUUACUACAGAACAAUUGAAACUGCUGCUAAGUGGAGCAAACAAGUGACAAAUCGAAACUAGAAUAGCUGUUCUUGCCAACUAUAUAGAACCAUUAAAUCGUAGGAUGUUGCAAUUUAAGCUCUCUUAUCAUCAAUUGAGCAACUCGUUAUAUUAGUUUUCGAGUAACAACAUCCCCAGUAUAGUAGAAAAUUCAGUGUUUCAGCUCCUUUACUAUCAGUGUUCAUUUAACAAUAUCGGUAUCUUUCUUUGAAUCGAAUUUACUCUCAAGAUGUGUUGUCUACACUGAACAUUAAAAUGUUUAAUAUGUGACAUUUUCUUGGUUACAAGAAACUUUUGAUAAACAAAAAUUUCACACUGGCAGAAAUUUGAAUUUCCUUUUUUAAUAUUUCAACUAAAAUUGGAGGGUGCGCCAAGCCCAAGCUAUAGUGCAACGCUUGGGCGACACAUGAGAGACCCAAUAGCAAGCUACUGUGAUGGACUCUCCCCUUUAAAAAAGUAAUUUAAUAUCGUGUGGGCCAUUGGCCCACAUAUCAGAUAUUAAACUGAUAAGAACAGAUACUACACUUGAUCUUAGCCAAAA
rnacentral:lncRNA from 1 species